rnacentral:lncRNA from 1 species
GGUGGUGUGCGCCUGCAGUCACAGCUACUCAGGAAGCUGAGGUGGGAGGUUUGGUUGAGAGCAGAUAGUCGAGGCUGCAGUGAACAGUAAUGUUGCCACUUCACUCCCCAAAUUCUUAUUUAUAAUGCACAAAAAAUUGCCUUUCUCUUCCAUUUUCUUAACUCCACCUAGCCAAAAUGGAAUAAUGAGGUAUCAAGGCUAUGAUCAUUUCUUUCUCAACUGGAUUUCCUAAACAGCUCCCAAAUCUUGUGACUCUAUAUCUUCCCUCCCAAUCCUACCUCCUUUAUCCAAAGAUCUUUCAAUACAAAUCUGACCAGUGCCCUAAGGGCCAACUAAGCCCUUCAUAAUAACAGACCCAAUGCUUGGCAUUUUACACAGCUGUUACACGGAUUUGGACCUUCUACCUGGAAAAUUUUACCCCUCUUGGCCUGUUUUAAAUCUAUUCAACACAGGGGUUUCAGUUUAAACAUCUCUUCCUCCUAGAAAAUUGUUCCUGACUCCUUCUGGGCUUUUAAUUAGCUACUCCUACCAUGUGCUCCAAUGCACUUCCCAUAUCAUGGUAUUUUUCUCAAUAUUGUCCGUUCAAUAUCUUCACGUGCUAGGUAACUACAGUGAAUGCAGAGAUCGUAGUUGUCUCGCUCGAUAAUGAAUACUUAUCUUCUGUUCGCAGAGUACUCUGUAGUUUUGUUUUGAGUAAGUGAAUCCAAAUGAAACAAUACCCUGUUCUUAAUACUGUAUGGAUCCCAUCCAGGUUCAUUCCUUUUCUUCCUCAUUUUCUCUGUCUUGUCUUUUUUAUAUUUUGGAUAGUUGAAGUCAAUCAUUUUCUCUGUCUAUUCAUUCUAUUUCCCCAGCCUCUUCAUCCCACUAGCCGUCCGAUCCCAUCUCCAUAUUCAGUGCUUCUCCUAACGUCUCUUCUUCUCCCUACCCCAAACCCUGGAGAUGUACAAGAUCCUACCUUUCACGCCAAAUGAAGAAAAUCUUUAAAAAAGAA